UCCCUCUCAGGAUCACACCUGGAGGGUUUCCAGUACUCUACCAGUCUCGGCUAAGGGAUGGAGAGUCAAGCAGAGGCCUACCCAUUCCAUUCCUAGCUUGGCCAGUGACUAGCGAGUGGAAGGCAAUCUGCUACAUGU
rfam:Ornithorhynchus anatinus chromosome 7, whole genome shotgun sequence.